UGGGGAAUCUUGCACAAUGGGCGAAAGCCUGAUGCAGCGACGCCGCGUGAAGGAUGAAGGUCUUCGGAUUGUAAACUUCUGUUAAGCGGGGCGAAAUACCUCUACCUAAUACGUAGAGGGGAUGACAGUACCGCUAGAGAAAGCACCGGCUAACUUCGUGCCAGCAGCCGCGGUAAUACGAGGGGUGCAAGCGUUAUCCGGAAUUAUUGGGCGUACAGGGCGCGUAGGCGGCAUAUUAAGUCUGUUGUUAAAUAUCUCAGCCUAACUGGGAAAAGGCAAUUGAUACUGAUGUGCUUGAGGGUGGAAGAGAGAAGCGGAAUUCUCGGAGUAGCGGUAAAAUGCGUAGAUCUCGAGAGGAACACCGAUGGCGAAGGCAGCUUCUUGGUCCAUACCUGACGCU
rnacentral:rRNA from 1 species